AUUGAACGCUGGCGGCAGGCCUAACACAUGCAAGUCGAGCGGCAGCGGGAAAGUAGCUUGCUACUUUUGCCGGCGAGCGGCGGACGGGUGAGUAAUGCCUGGGGAUCUGCCCAGUCGAGGGGGAUAACUACUGGAAACGGUAGCUAAUACCGCAUACGCCCUACGGGGGAAAGCAGGGGACCUUCGGGCCUUGCGCGAUUGGAUGAACCCAGGUGGGAUUAGCUAGUCGGUGAGGUAAUGGCUCACCAAGGCGACGAUCCCUAGCUGGUCUGAGAGGAUGAUCAGCCACACUGGAACUGAGACACGGUCCAGACUCCUACGGGAGGCAGCAGUGGGGAAUAUUGCACAAUGGGGGAAACCCUGAUGCAGCCAUGCCGCGUGUGUGAAGAAGGCCUUCGGGUUGUAAAGCACUUUCAGCGAGGAGGAAAGGUUGGUAGCUAAUAACUGCCAGCUGUGACGUUACUCGCAGAAGAAGCACCGGCUAACUCCGUGCCAGCAGCCGCUGUAACAC
rnacentral:rRNA from 1 species